UAGGAAAGCAGGAUUUCCUAUUCCUGGCAGAUCCUGCGAGUCGCUUCCGCUUCCGGCUGCUUAGCGUUUGGAGGCGCUGACGGUAGGGUAGAGGUUUUGGUGGUUCGUUUCUUUGCCCAGUUGCUGGGUUACCAGAGGUCAGGACUGUUGCUGGCCGAGGGCUUUCCUGGCCCAGAGAAGCGCGACUGACUCAGACUACCUAGCCGGAGCUAACCCGGGACCUAUUUUUCCUCCUCCCUCCCCGAAGCCUCUGGUGCCUGAGGGCUCAGUAUUGGUUUGGCCUCCGUCCCCACUACACUUCUGCCCUCUCUAUUUCCCAUACACACUUUACCCUGCACCCUCAGGGCUGAGCCUUCAUUAAUUUUUCUGAUGCCUUAGGGCCGAAUCUAAUGGUGAAAUUUAUUUGUCUAGGACUCUUAUACAUGGAUCUACGCUCACUUGGAACUUUUCUUGCCGUAGCUUAAGUAGUGUUCCUAAAUGAUGCUAACUGGACCAUCUCUAGAGCUGACGGGGUCCAUCACUCUGAAUAGCCAACAUUUUCCCUUCCGGCACGGGUGGGGCAAAUUCAGAUUGAAACAUUUGCCUGACAGAAGCAGCUGGUGAACCCACAUUAACCAUGCCGCCACCACCUUUGAGGAUGAGCGACGUCGACGUCUUGCCGCUGCGCGUGAACGCCGACACCAGGCCACAACCCGUAACAACUGGCGUCCCAUGCCCCAUGUGCCACACACUCUGCGCCUCAGCCUUUGGACUCCAAAACCACAUGAGGUGUCCACCUAAGAGCCUGGUCAAACAUCAAAGAAGUCAAGGUUAUCCACUGCAUUCUGCACCAUCACUAGGCAUCUUGACUUUUGUCCUUACCCUGGACUUCACUGAUUCUGGAAGAGAGAAUAAAGCCUACAACUUCGUGUACCUCUGA
rnacentral:lncRNA from 1 species